rnacentral:rRNA from 1 species
AACGAACGCUGGCGGCAUGCCUAACACAUGCAAGUCGAACGAGAUCUUCGGAUCUAGUGGCGCACGGGUGCGUAACGCGUGGGAAUCUGCCCUUGGGUACGGAAUAACUCAGAGAAAUUUGUGCUAAUACCGUAUAAUGUCUUCGGACCAAAGAUUUAUCGCCCAAGGAUGAGCCCGCGUAGGAUUAGCUAGUUGGUGAGGUAAAAGCUCACCAAGGCGACGAUCCUUAGCUGGUCUGAGAGGAUGAUCAGCCACACUGGGACUGAGACACGGCCCAGACUCCUACGGGAGGCAGCAGUGGGGAAUAUUGGACAAUGGCGAAAGCCUGAUCCAGCAAUGCCGCGUGAGUGAUGAAGGCCCUAGGGUUGUAAAGCUCUUUUACCCGGGAUGAUAAUGACAGUACCGGGAGAAUAAGCUCCGGCUAACUUCGUG